rnacentral:rRNA from 1 species
UGGCGAACGGGUGAGUAACAUAUCGGAACGUACCGGGUAGCGGGGGAUAACUGAUCGAAAGAUCAGCUAAUACCGCAUACGUCUUGAGAGGGAAAGCAGGGGACCUUCGGGCCUUGCGCUAUCCGAGCGGCCGAUAUCUGAUUAGCUGGUUGGCGGGGUAAAGGCCCACCAAGGCGACGAUCAGUAGCGGGUCUGAGAGGAUGAUCCGCCACACUGGGACUGAGACACGGCCCAGACUCCUACGGGAGGCAGCAGCC